rnacentral:piRNA from 1 species
UGACUUCAUUGGAAAUUUUAAAUCGU